AUUCAGAGAAACCCUGGAACUAAAAACGGGGAAAAUCCGUCGAAUUUCAAAUUCGUGAGGGUUCAAGUCCCUCUAUCCCCA
rnacentral:tRNA from 16 species